CAUUUUGUACCAACAUGGGAAGUCAAGUUAAUGAUACACAUACUGAAAGACCCCCGAAGGGAGCCCCCCACUCAAGUCUCGGGAAAGACGCGCACCCAGUAGGACACAGACACCG
rnacentral:pre_miRNA from 14 species